AUUGAACGCUGGCGGCAGGCCUAACACAUGCAAGUCGAACGGUAACAGGAAGAAGCUUGCUUCUUUGCUGACGAGUGGCGGACGGGUGAGUAAUGUCUGGGAAACUGCCUGAUGGAGGGGGAUAACUACUGGAAACGGUAGCUAAUACCGCAUAAUGUCGCAAGACCAAAGAGGGGGACCUUCGGGCCUCUUGCCAUCGGCUGUGCCCAGAUGGGAUUAGCUAGUAGGUGGGGUAACGGCUCACCUAGGCGACAAUCCCUAGCUGGUCUGAGAGGAUGACCAGCCACACUGGAACUGAGACACGGUCCAGACUCCUACGGGAGGCAGCAGUGGGGAAUAUUGCACAAAGGGCGCAAGCCUGAUGCAGCUAUGCCGCGUGUAUGAAGAAGGCCUUCGGGUUGUAAAGUACUUUCAGCGGGGAGGAAGGGAGUAAAGUUAAUACCUUUGCUUAUUGACGUUACCCGCAGAAGAAGCACCGGCUAACUCCGUG
rnacentral:rRNA from 1 species